GCUGAAUACAACAGGUGUAGAGACCUCAGGGUGAAAUGCUGAAUACAACAGGUGUAGAGACCUUAGGGUGAAAUGCUGAAUACAACAGGUGUAGAGACCUUAGGGUUAAAUGCUGAAUACAACAGGUGUAGAGACCUUAGGGUGAAAUGCUGAAUACAACAGGUGUAGUAGACCUUAGGGUGAAAUGCUGAAUACAACAGGUGUAGAGACCUUAGGGUGAAAUGCUGAAUACAACAGGUGUAGAGACCUUAGGGUGAAAUGCUGAAUACAACAGGUGUAGAGACCUUAGGGUGAAAUGCUGAAUACAACAGGUGUAGAGACCUUAGGGUUAAAUGCUGAAUACAACAGGUGUAGAGACCUUAGGGUGAAAUGCUGAAUACAACAGGUGUAGAGACCUUAGGGUGAAAUGCUGAAUACAACAGGUGUAGAGACCUUAGGGUUAAAUGCUGAAUACAACAGGUGUAGAGACCUUAGGGUGAAAUGCUGAAUACAACAG